ACAUGCAGUCGAGCGAAUGGAUUGAGAGCUUGCUCUCAAGAAGUUAGCGGCGGACGGGUGAGUAACACGUGGGUAACCUGCCCAUAAGACUGGGAUAACUCCGGGAAACCGGGGCUAAUACCGGAUAACAUUUUGAACUGCAUGGUUCGAAAUUGAAAGGCGGCUUCGGCUGUCACUUAUGGAUGGACCCGCGUCGCAUUAGCUAGUUGGUGAGGUAACGGCUCACCAAGGCAACGAUGCGUAGCCGACCUGAGAGGGUGAUCGGCCACACUGGGACUGAGACACGGCCCAGACUCCUACGGGAGGCAGCAGUAGGGAAUCUUCCGCAAUGGACGAAAGUCUGACGGAGCAACGCCGCGUGAGUGAUGAAGGCUUUCGGGUCGUAAAACUCUGUUGUUAGGGAAGAACAAGUGCUAGUUGAAUAAGCUGGCACCUUGACGGUACCUAACCAGAAAGCCACGGCUAACUACGUGCCAGCAGCCGCGGUAAUACGUAGGUGGCAAGCGUUAUCCGGAAUUAUUGGGCGUAAAGCGCGCGCAGGUGGUUUCUUAAGUCUGAUGUGAAAGCCCACGGCUCAACCGUGGAGGGUCAUUGGAAACUGGGAGACUUGAGUGCAGAAGAGGAAAGUGGAAUUCCAUGUGUAGCGGUGAAAUGCGUAGAGAUAUGGAGGAACACCAGUGGCGAA
rnacentral:rRNA from 1 species